rnacentral:rRNA from 1 species
GACAGAGGGGGCAAGCGUUGCUCGGAAUUACUGGGCGUAAAGGGCGCGUAGGCGGGAUGGCAAGUCGGUCGUGAAAUCCCUCGGCUCAACCGAGGAACGUCGAUCGAUACUGCUGUUCUUGAGGAUUGCAGAGGAGACUGGAAUUCCCGGUGUAGCGGUGAAAUGCGUAGAGAUGUGGAGGAACACCAAUGGCGAAGGCAGCCUUCUGGGCCAACACUGACGCUCAUGCACGAAAGCGUGGGGAGCAAACAGG